GGUCUACAUACAUAAGCGGAGGAAAAGAAACUAACAAGGAUUCCCCUAGUAACUGCGAGUGAAGCGGGAAAAGCUCAAAUUUAAAAGCUGGCGGUCUUUGCCCGUCCGCAUUGUAAUCUAGAGAAGUGUUACCCGCGUUGGACCGUGUACAAGUCUCCUGGAAUGGAGCGUCAUAGAGGGUGACAAUCCCGUCUUUGACACGGACUCCCAAGGCUUUGUGGUGCGCUCUCAAAGAGUCGAGUUGUUUGGGAAUGCAGCUCUAAAUGGGUGGUAAAUUCCAUCUAAAGCUAAAUAUUGGCGAGAGACCGAUAGCGAACAAGUACCGUGAGGGAAAGAUGAAAAGAACUUUGGAAAGAGAGUUAAACAGUACGUGAAAUUGCUGAAAGGGAAACGCUUGAAGUCAGUCGCGUCGUCCGGAGAUCAACCUUGCUUUUGCUGGGCGUAUUCUCCGGUUGACGGGCCAGCAUCAGUUUUGGCCACUGGAAAAGGGCGGAGGAAAUGUGGCAUCUUCGGAUGUGUUAUAGUCUUCCGUCGUAUACAGUGGCUGGGACUGAGGAACUCAGCACGCCGCAAGGCCGGGAUUUAUCCACGUACGUGCUUAGGAUGCUGGCAUAAUGGCUUUAAUCGACCCGUCUUGAAACACGGACCAAGGAGUCUAACAUGCCUGCGAGUGUUUGGGUGGAAAACCCGAGCGCGUAAUGAAAGUGAAAGUUGAGAUCCCUGUCGUGGGGAGCAUCGACGCCCGGACCAGACCUUUUGUGACGGAUCUGCGGUAGAGCAUGUAUGUUGGGACCCGAAAGAUGGUGAACUAUGCCUGAAUAGGGUGAAGCCAGAGGAAACUCUGGUGGAGGCUCGUAGCGAUUCUGACGUGCAAAUCGAUCGUCAAAUUUGGGUAUAGGGGCGAAAGACUAAUCGAACCAUCUAGUAGCUGGUUCCUGCCGAUCU
rnacentral:rRNA from 1 species